UACGUAGGGCGCAAGCGUUGUCCGGAAUUAUUGGGCGUAAAGAGCUCGUAGGCGGCUUGUCACGUCGGAUGUGAAAGCCCGAGGCUUAACCUCGGGUCUGCAUUCGAUACGGGCUAGCUAGAGUGUGGUAGGGGAGAUCGGAAUUCCUGGUGUAGCGGUGAAAUGCGCAGAUAUCAGGAGGAACACCGGUGGCGAAGGCGGGUCUCUGGGCAAUAACUGACGCUGAGGAGCGAAAGCGUGGGGAGCGAACAGG
rnacentral:rRNA from 1 species